ensembl:lncRNA novel transcript, sense intronic to TWSG1
GGGGCCCUGGCACCGCUCUACAGAGGCUCGGCUCUGCCCUGGUCGCUGUCAGUGCCAUCUCCCUUAACGAGAAACUUGGGCGUGAUGUAUGCGAAACAAUUUUGAUGCAUGAUGGUUUCUAACUCCUUAGGAAAAGAUAAGUCCUUUAAUUCUAUUACCUGAUUUCGACAUGGUCGUAGUUACUUGAAUACUUUUUCCAGUGAAAUUUGGGGAGUAAGAUGAAUUUGUGGAACAUUUCAUAAGACAACCGUAAAAGAUGGGAAAGGGGGGAAAUCCCAGUUUUCAUGGUUGUAGGAUGAAAACUAGUUCCACGACAGUUAGUCUCCAAAUAACCUUAUUUGGCCUCCGCAAAUAUGUACUGGUUGCUCCAGAAAUCAUCCUACUUGGUAUGCGGCGUUAGAUACAUUAGAAAAUUAGUUACUAACGGUCUUUAGGGAAUGCUUUGUGAGCCUCAGUAACGAUCACCAGGGUUUUCUCUUUCAAAAUUGACUCAUACCAGGUCCAAAGCCCUUUAUUCUUUUCACCCUUUUAUUAUUUUUCCUUUAAUGUACUUUGUAACACUUAGAAUAAAAGUUUAGAGUAAUCAUAAAUGCCCCCAUAAACUCACUAUUUAUCCCUCUUACGUCAGUAGUCAUUUAUUUUAAUUUAUUAUGUUUGAUAGGGAGGUGUUUUAACCUGAAGAAAUGAUAUCUUCCCGUAUUUAAAGUUUAAUAACUGUAUACUGUUUGGCCCCUGUCAGACUGUGUUUGUGCUAGUCUUUUUUCCUUCUUCUUUUUGAACUGUAGUAUCUUCUUAAUAACUUUGAAGAAUGUGUGGUACUAAUAGAAUUAAAAGAAUAUCUUGGCCGGGCGCGGUAGCUCACCCCUGUAAUCCCACACUUUGGGAGGCCGAGGCGGGUGGAUCACCUGAGGUCAGGAGAUCGAGACCAGCCUGGCCAAUAUGGUGAAACCCCGUCUCUACUAAAAAUACAAAAA